rnacentral:rRNA from 1 species
AACGGACGCUGGCGGCAUGCCUAACACAUGCAAGUCGAACGAGACCUUCGGGUCUAGUGGCGCACGGGUGCGUAACGCGUGGGAACCUGCCCUUAGGUUCGGAAUAACUCCCCGAAAGGGGUGCUAAUACCGGAUAAUGUCUUCGGACCAAAGAUUUAUCGCCUUUGGAUGGGCCCGCGUUGGAUUAGCUAGUUGGUAGGGUAAAAGCCUACCAAGGCGACGAUCCAUAGCUGGUCUGAGAGGAUGAUCAGCCACACUGGGACUGAGACACGGCCCAGACUCCUACGGGAGGCAGGAGUGGGGAAUAUUGGACAAUGGGCGAAAGCCUGAUCCAGCAAUGCCGCGUGAGUGAUGAAGGCCUUAGGGUUGUAAAGCUCUUUUACCCGGGAUGAUAAUGACAGUACCGGGAGAAUAAGCUCCGGCUAACUCCGUG